GGAUAUGCUCUUCGCCCACAUUCGCGGACAAGCAACCGAGCUCCGAGUCGUCAAAGAUGCUAAAAACUUUGGAGUGACAAUCACGGACAACGGACUCGGGAAUGCAUUUAUCAAG
rnacentral:sRNA from 1 species